AGAAAAAAUUGGUUAACAAAAACUCAUGAGUGAAAUUUUUUGUUUUAACAAAAAUGUGCGGUUAUCCAAUAGCAACUAACUCUGCAACGUUUUAUUAACUAUUUCGACAAUAGAUUAAAAUUAUUCAUUGGUAUAAAGAUAAACAGCGCAAAAAUGUGCGAGUCUUACCAGUUGAUAUGAUAUGAAUUUUGGUUUCGAUUAAAAUCUUUAGUUUCGAAUGAAUGGUUAGAGCAGCGAAAAAAAA